rnacentral:rRNA from 1 species
GUUAAGCGACUAAGCGUACACGGUGGAUGCCCUGGCAGUCAGAGGCGAUGAAGGACGUGCUAAUCUGCGAUAAGCGUCGGUAAGGUGAUAUGAACCGUUAUAACCGGCGAUUUCCGAAUGGGGAAACCCAGUGUGAUUCGUCACACUAUCAUUAACUGAAUCCAUAGGUUAAUGAGGCGAACCGGGGGAACUGAAACAUCUAAGUACCCCGAGGAAAAGAAAUCAACCGAGAUUCCCCCAGUAGCGGCGAGCGAACGGGGAGCAGCCCAGAGCCUGAAUCAGUGUGUGUGUUAGUGGAAGCGUCUGGAAAGGCGCGCGAUACAGGGUGACAGCCCCGUACACAAAAAUGCACAUGCUGUGAGCUCGAUGAGUAGGGCGGGACACGUGGUAUCCUGUCUGAAUAUGGGGGGACCAUCCUCCAAGGCUAAAUACUCCUGACUGACCGAUAGUGAACCAGUACCGUGAGGGAAAGGCGAAAAGAACCCCGGCGAGGGGAGUGAAAAAGAACCUGAAACCGUGUACGUACAAGCAGUGGGAGCACGCUUAGGCGUGUGACUGCGUACCUUUUGUAUAAUGGGUCAGCGACUUAUAUUCUGUAGCAAGGUUAACCGAAUAGGGGAGCCGAAGGGAAACCGAGUCUUAACUGGGCGUUAAGUUGCAGGGUAUAGACCCGAAACCCGGUGAUCUAGCCAUGGGCAGGUUGAAGGUUGGGUAACACUAACUGGAGGACCGAACCGACUAAUGUUGAAAAAUUAGCGGAUGACUUGUGGCUGGGGGUGAAAGGCCAAUCAAACCGGGAGAUAGCUGGUUCUCCCCGAAAGCUAUUUAGGUAGCGCCUCGUGAAUUCAUCUCCGGGGGUAGAGCACUGUUUCGGCAAGGGGGUCAUCCCGACUUACCAACCCGAUGCAAACUGCGAAUACCGGAGAAUGUUAUCACGGGAGACACACGGCGGGUGCUAACGUCCGUCGUGAAGAGGGAAACAACCCAGACCGCCAGCUAAGGUCCCAAAGUCAUGGUUAAGUGGGAAACGAUGUGGGAAGGCCCAGACAGCCAGGAUGUUGGCUUAGAAGCAGCCAUCAUUUAAAGAAAGCGUAAUAGCUCACUGGUCGAGUCGGCCUGCGCGGAAGAUGUAACGGGGCUAAACCAUGCACCGAAGCUGCGGCAGCGACACUGUGUGUUGUUGGGUAGGGGAGCGUUCUGUAAGCCUGCGAAGGUGUGCUGUGAGGCAUGCUGGAGGUAUCAGAAGUGCGAAUGCUGACAUAAGUAACGAUAAAGCGGGUGAAAAGCCCGCUCGCCGGAAGACCAAGGGUUCCUGUCCAACGUUAAUCGGGGCAGGGUGAGUCGACCCCUAAGGCGAGGCCGAAAGGCGUAGUCGAUGGGAAACAGGUUAAUAUUCCUGUACUUGGUGUUACUGCGAAGGGGGGACGGAGAAGGCUAUGUUGGCCGGGCGACGGUUGUCCCGGUUUAAGCGUGUAGGCUGGUUUUCCAGGCAAAUCCGGAAAAUCAAGGCUGAGGCGUGAUGACGAGGCACUACGGUGCUGAAGCAACAAAUGCCCUGCUUCCAGGAAAAGCCUCUAAGCAUCAGGUAACAUCAAAUCGUACCCCAAACCGACACAGGUGGUCAGGUAGAGAAUACCAAGGCGCUUGAGAGAACUCGGGUGAAGGAACUAGGCAAAAUGGUGCCGUAACUUCGGGAGAAGGCACGCUGAUAUGUAGGUGAAGUCCCUCGCGGAUGGAGCUGAAAUCAGUCGAAGAUACCAGCUGGCUGCAACUGUUUAUUAAAAACACAGCACUGUGCAAACACGAAAGUGGACGUAUACGGUGUGACGCCUGCCCGGUGCCGGAAGGUUAAUUGAUGGGGUCAGCGCAAGCGAAGCUCUUGAUCGAAGCCCCGGUAAACGGCGGCCGUAACUAUAACGGUCCUAAGGUAGCGAAAUUCCUUGUCGGGUAAGUUCCGACCUGCACGAAUGGCGUAAUGAUGGCCAGGCUGUCUCCACCCGAGACUCAGUGAAAUUGAACUCGCUGUGAAGAUGCAGUGUACCCGCGGCAAGACGGAAAGACCCCGUGAACCUUUACUAUAGCUUGACACUGAACAUUGAGCCUUGAUGUGUAGGAUAGGUGGGAGGCUUUGAAGUGUGGACGCCAGUCUGCAUGGAGCCGACCUUGAAAUACCACCCUUUAAUGUUUGAUGUUCUAACGUUGACCCGUGAUCCGGGUUGCGGACAGUGUCUGGUGGGUAGUUUGACUGGGGCGGUCUCCUCCUAAAGAGUAACGGAGGAGCACGAAGGUUGGCUAAUCCUGGUCGGACAUCAGGAGGUUAGUGCAAUGGCAUAAGCCAGCUUGACUGCGAGCGUGACGGCGCGAGCAGGUGCGAAAGCAGGUCAUAGUGAUCCGGUGGUUCUGAAUGGAAGGGCCAUCGCUCAACGGAUAAAAGGUACUCCGGGGAUAACAGGCUGAUACCGCCCAAGAGUUCAUAUCGACGGCGGUGUUUGGCACCUCGAUGUCGGCUCAUCACAUCCUGGGGCUGAAGUAGGUCCCAAGGGUAUGGCUGUUCGCCAUUUAAAGUGGUACGCGAGCUGGGUUUAGAACGUCGUGAGACAGUUCGGUCCCUAUCUGCCGUGGGCGCUGGAGAACUGAGGGGGGCUGCUCCUAGUACGAGAGGACCGGAGUGGACGCAUCACUGGUGUUCGGGUUGUCAUGCCAAUGGCACUGCCCGGUAGCUAAAUGCGGAAGAGAUAAGUGCUGAAAGCAUCUAAGCACGAAACUUGCCCCGAGAUGAGUUCUCCCUGACUCCUUGAGAGUCCUGAAGGAACGUUG